UUGGGGUGUAGCCAAGUCGGUAAGGCACCAGACUUUGACUCUGGCAUGCGUAGGUUCGAGUCCUGCCACCCCAGCCAU
rnacentral:tRNA from 1 species